rnacentral:rRNA from 1 species
CCGAGAAUUUUUCACAAUGGGCGAAAGCCUGAUGGAGCGACGCCGCGUGGGGGAUGAAUGGCUUCGGCCCGUAAACCCCUGUCAUUCGCGAGCAAACGUUAUUAUUUAAAAGAUGAUAGCCUGAUAGUAGCGAAAGAGGCAGGGACGGCUAACUCUGUGCCAGCAGCCGCGGUAAUACAGAGGUCCCAAGCGUUGUUCGGAUUUACUGGGCGUAAAGGGUGCGUAGGUGGUGGGGUAAGUCGGACGUGAAAUCUCCGAGCUCAACUCGGAAAGUGCAUUGGAAACUACCCUGCUCGAGGGUUGGAGGGGGGACUGGAAUACUUGGUGUAGCAGUGAAAUGCGUAGAUAUCAAGUGGAACACCAGUGGCGAAGGCGAGUCCCUGGACAACUCCUGACACUGAGGCACGAAAGCUAGGGGAGCAAACAG